rfam:Capsicum annuum cultivar Zunla-1 chromosome 1, whole genome shotgun sequence
UAUUGGUGAUGUGGGAAAUCCCUUAGAAGAGAUUUGAAUCUCUCCUAUGCAUAAUAAAGAUUCUUAUCUGACUUUUGUUUGAAACAUAGGAUCUCACUCCUUAAACU